UACAGAGGUGGCAAGCGUUGUUCGGAAUUACUGGGCGUAAAGGGCGCGUAGGCGGUCUUCUAAGUCUUGUGUGAAAUCCCUCGGCUCAACUGAGGAACUGCACGGGAUACUGGAUGACUUGAGUUCGGGAGAGGGAAGCGGAAUUCCGGGUGUAGCGGUGAAAUGCGUAGAUAUCCGGAGGAACACCGGUGGCGAAGGCGGCUUCCUGGCCGAGUACUGACGCUGAUGCACGAAAGCGUGGGGAGCAAACGGG
rnacentral:rRNA from 1 species